rnacentral:misc_RNA from 1 species
UGAAGAAGUAUGUUCAGGACCCUCAAGAAAAGGAUACUGUCUCUCGCUUUUCUCCUGCAAAGGAAGAGUCAUCUGGAUUUCUUAGCUUAAACAGAGUUAUGAGUCUUGACAGUAUGGAAAUUGACCUAACCAAGAAGCUUAUAACCCCUUCAAAACCUACGCUAGAUGCUGAAGUCGAGGAAAAUAAAGCUAGUGUAAGUGCAUCUCAAAAAUGGAGACCAGCACCAACACGACGCGAGCAG